UUGAGACUGCCAAUGUUUUCAGGAUGAAUUCUAAAUAACGAUCUGUUUUCCCUUCCUGUGCCCAGGACGUGGUGGGUCCUCCGGCGCCAAGUUCCGGAUCUCCUUGGGUCUGCCCGUAGGAGCCGUGAUCAACUGUGCGGAUAACACAGGAGCCAAAAAUCUGUACAUCAUCUCUGUGAAGGGGAUCAAGGGACGACUGAACAGACUUCCCGCCGCUGCUGUGGGUGACAUGGUGAUGGCCACGGUCAAGAAA